UGCAAGUCGACGAGUUCUGAUUAUUGAAAGGUGCUUGCAUCUUGAUUUAAUUUUGAACGAGUGGCGGACGGGUGAGUAACACGUGGGUAACCUGCCCUUAAGUGGGGGAUAACAUUUGGAAACAGAUGCUAAUACCGCAUAAAUCCAAGAACCGCAUGGUUCUUGGCUGAAAGAUGGCGUAAGCUAUCGCUUUUGGAUGGACCCGCGGCGUAUUAGCUAGUUGGUGAGGUAACGGCUCACCAAGGCAAUGAUACGUAGCCGAACUGAGAGGUUGAUCGGCCACAUUGGGACUGAGACACGGCCCAAACUCCUACGGGAGGCAGCAGUAGGGAAUCUUCCACAAUGGACGCAAGUCUGAUGGAGCAACGCCGCGUGAGUGAAGAAGGCUUUCGGGUCGUAAAACUCUGUUGUUGGAGAAGAAUGGUCGGCAGAGUAACUGUUGUCGGCGUGACGGUAUCCAACCAGAAAGCCACGGCUAACUACGUGCCAGCAGCCGCGGUAAUACGUAGGUGGCAAGCGUUAUCCGGAUUUAUUGGGCGUAAAGCGAGCGCAGGCGGUUUUUUAAGUCUGAUGUGAAAGCCCUCGGCUUAACCGAGGAAGUGCAUCGGAAACUGGGAAACUUGAGUGCAGAAGAGGACAGUGGAACUCCAUGUGUAGCGGUGAAAUGCGUAGAUAUAUGGAAGAACACCAGUGGCGAAGGCGGCUGUCUGGUCUGUAACUGACGCUGAGGCUCGAAAGCAUGGGUAGCGAACAGGAUUAGAUACCCUGGUAGUCCAUGCCGUAAACGAUGAAUGCUAGGUGUUGGAGGGUUUCCGCCCUUCAGUGCCGCAGCUAACGCAUUAAGCAUUCCGCCUGGGGAGUACGACCGCAAGGUUGAAACUCAAAGGAAUUGACGGGGGCCCGCACAAGCGGUGGAGCAUGUGGUUUAAUUCGAAGCAACGCGAAGAACCUUACCAGGUCUUGACAUCUUUUGAUCACCUGAGAGAUCAGGUUUCCCCUUCGGGGGCAAAAUGACAGGUGGUGCAUGGUUGUCGUCAGCUCGUGUCGUGAGAUGUUGGGUUAAGUCCCGCAACGAGCGCAACCCUUAUGACUAGUUGCCAGCAUUUAGUUGGGCACUCUAGUAAGACUGCCGGUGACAAACCGGAGGAAGGUGGGGAUGACGUCAAAUCAUCAUGCCCCUUAUGACCUGGGCUACACACGUGCUACAAUGGAUGGUACAACGAGUUGCGAGACCGCGAGGUCAAGCUAAUCUCUUAAAGCCAUUCUCAGUUCGGACUGUAGGCUGCAACUCGCCUACACGAAGUCGGAAUCGCUAGUAAUCGCGGAUCAGCACGCCGCGGUGAAUACGUUCCCGGGCCUUGUACACACCGCCCGUCACACCAUGAGAGUUUGUAACACCCGAAGCCGGUGGCGUAACCCUUUUAGGGAGCGAGCCGUCUAA
rnacentral:rRNA from 1 species